GUCAGAGCAGUGUCUGUGUGUCAGUCCAGAGUGAUUCUGUCAGUUCCACCAGAGUCAGAGCAGUGUCUGUGUCACCGACAUGGCAGCCCUGACACUUUUCCAUGUGGGAUUCCAGCCUGAAGGACACAGGUCAUUUAAGCAAUCAGGAAUUUCAUGUCAGUGACCUUCAUGCCAAGAGGCAGAACUCAGGGUAGGGGCAAAACCAGCAGCUGGAGGUUGGAUCUAGGCUGGAUCCUCCCUUCCUGUGCCCAGUAGUUUCUUCUCUGUUUUCUUGCUGCACUUCCACCUUUGCCUCACUUAGUUUGUAAACCCCCGUCCCUUUGCAGAUCUCUGUGUCCAAAAUUGGCAGAAGUUCCUCAGCUUUCUCACUUAUGCCAUUUUCUGGCCUGUUUAUAUCCCAUAAAUCAAGUCAGUGAUGAGCUUGGCAUGGGAUGGGGAAGAUUUUCAUGGCAGGAUCAGUUUCUCCCCUUUAAUUAAACAUUACAGGUUCCUCAUGAACCUUCCCCCUGAGAAACUUUUUUGAAAAGUUUUAACAGAGUAAUUUAUGGGGAAUCUGUUUUGAUGUGCAGAUCUGGGCCCCAGUUCCAGCCUUGCACACAAUACCAGAGCUCCUGUAAAUCAUCUGCCUUUGCUGGAUCUGCCCUGGCACUGGGAGUCAGAGGGUUUGUCACCCGAGGAGCUGAGCUGUGCUUGCCUGUGACAGAUGGCAGUGCCCCGGUGAGCAGCGACAGCCAGGGGAGAGCACGGAGCCCAUGGAAUAGAGGAGGAGAACCUCUCCGAGCAGGACCGGGACCAGCCCGAGGCAGAGCCAGGAGCCGGACAUGCCAGAGCCAGCCCCGCUCGGCGGGGACAGGAAAGCGGCGGAGAAGAAGCGGGUGGAGAAGGUGGGAGCCAAGGGCAGCGCUGCCGGGCCGCCAGGUGGGUGUGUGGGAAAGGCCUUCCCUGCCCCAGAACGGCCACCCUGGCCCACGGUGGCCACAGGGCCACAGUCCCCUGUCCCCGGCCAGCCCGGGAGGCGCUGUCUGGUCAUGGAAAGGGGAAAUCAGUGGGGAAGUCACUGACACGGGGAUGGAGAUGGGGCUCCUCAGCCGCCUGCUAGAUCCUCCUCCUCCUCCUCUCCACUCUGCCCAGAUUUGCUGCUGGAGGAGGAGCACGGGCACAGCUUUUCCCAGCUUGAUCGCCAG
rnacentral:lncRNA from 1 species